rnacentral:rRNA from 1 species
AUUGAACGCUGGCGGCAGGCCUAACACAUGCAAGUCGAGCGAGAGGCGGACGGGUGAGUAAUGUCUGGGAAACUGCCUGAUGGGGGGGGAUAACUACUGGAAACGGUAGCUAAUACCGCAUCCCAUCAGAUGUGCCCAGGUGGGAGUAGCUAGUAGGUGGGGUAACGGCUCACCUAGGCGACGAUCCCUAGCUGGUCUGAGAGGAUGACCAGCCACACGGAAACUGAGACACGGUCCAGACACCUACGGGAGGCAGAAGGGGGGAAUAUUGCACAAUGGGCGCAAGCCUGAUGCAGCCAUGCCGCGUGGUUGAAGAAGGCCGUCGGGUUGUAAAGCACUUUCAGCGGGGAGGCGUUACCCGCAGAAGAAGCACCGGCUAACUCCGUGCCAGCAGCCGCGGUAAUAC